AGUGAACGCUGGCGGUAGGCCUAACACAUGCAAGUCGAACGGCAGCACAGUAAGAGCUUGCUCUUACGGGUGGCGAGUGGCGGACGGGUGAGGAAUACAUCGGAAUCUACUUUUUCGUGGGGGAUAACGUAGGGAAACUUACGCUAAUACCGCAUACGACCUACGGGUGAAAGCAGGGGAUCUUCGGACCUUGCGCGAUUGAAUGAGCCGAUGUCGGAUUAGCUAGUUGGCGGGGUAAAGGCCCACCAAGGCGACGAUCCGUAGCUGGUCUGAGAGGAUGAUCAGCCACACUGGAACUGAGACACCGUCCAGACUCCUACGGGAGGCAGCAGUGGGGAAUAGUGGACAAUGGGCGCAAGCCUGAUCCAGCCAUACCGCGUGGGUGGAGAAGGCCUUCGGGUUGUAAAGCCCUUUUGUUGGGAAAGAAAAGCAGCAGGUUGAUACCCCGCUGUUCUGACGGUACCCAAAGAAUAAGCACCGGCUAACUUCGUA
rnacentral:rRNA from 1 species